GUGCUCGCUUUGGUAGCACAUAUACUAAAAUUGGAACAAUACAGAGAAGAUUGGCAUGGCCCCUGUGUAGGGAUGAAACACAAAUUCAUAAAGUGUUCUGUAUUUAA
rnacentral:snRNA from 1 species